rnacentral:tRNA from 1 species
GUCUAAAUAGUUUAAUAAGAAUAAUAAUUUGUGGUGUUAUAGGUGUAUAAUUUUCUUUAGAUC